AUUGAACGCUGGCGGCAGGCCUAACACAUGCAAGUCGAACGAGUGGCGGACGGGUGAGUAAUGUCUGGGAAACUGCCUGAUGGAGGGGGAUAACUACUGGAAACGGUAGCUAAUACCGCAUACCAUCGGAUGUGCCCAGAUGGGAUUAGCUAGUAGGGUGGGUAAAGGCCCACCUAGGCGACGAUCCCUAGCUGGUUUUGGAGGAUGACCCGCCCACCUGGAAACUAGGCCAGGUCCCAGAUCCUUACGGAGGGAGGCGUGGGGAAUUAUUGACCAUUGGCGGAAGCCCGAUGCCACCCUGGCGGGGGUAUGAGGAGGGCCUUCGGUUUGUAAAGUCCUUCCGGGGGGGAGACGUUAACCGGCGAAGAAGCACCGGCUAACUCCGUGCCAGCAGCCGCGGUAAUAC
rnacentral:rRNA from 1 species